rnacentral:rRNA from 1 species
GACGAACGCUGGCGGCGUGCUUAACACAUGCAAGUCGAACGGAAAGGCCUUGCUUUUGUGGGGUGCUCGAGUGGCGAACGGGUGAGUAACACGUGAGUAACCUGCCCUUGACUUUGGGAUAACUUCAGGAAACUGGGGCUAAUACCGGAUAGGAGCUCCUGCUGCAUGGUGGGGGUUGGAAAGUUUCGGCGGUUGGGGAUGGACUCGCGGCUUAUCAGCUUGUUGGUGGGGUAGUGGCUUACCAAGGCUUUGACGGGUAGCCGGCCUGAGAGGGUGACCGGCCACAUUGGGACUGAGAUACGGCCCAGAAUCCUACGGGAGGCAGCAGUGGGGAAUAUUGCACAAUGGGCGGAAGCCUGAUGCAGCAACGCCGCGUGCGGGAUGACGGCCUUCGGGUUGUAAACCGCUUUCGCCUGUGACGAAGCGUGAGUGACGGUAAUGGGUAAAGAAGCACCGGCUAACUACGUG